UAUGGCAGCUGGCCGGGCCCCUGUGUCAGUGGGGCCCCUUAUGUCUAGCACAUUGUUAUGUACAGGGCUUUGCAAUGUGUUGUCAUAUAGUAUGCGCAAUAAUGGCCGUUGUCAUGCUGCGCCAAAGUCAGUGGUCAGCGCCAUGUGUAGUGAGGUGACCGCCACCGCGUCAUACGUAAGAGCCGUCCUCCACAGUGAGGUGACCGCCACCGCGUCAUACGGAAGAGCCGUCCUCCACAGUGAGGUGACCGCCACCGCGUCAUACGGAAGAGCCGUCGUCCACAGUGUGGUGACCGCCACCGCGUCAUACGGAAGAGCCGUCGUCCACAGUGACCGCCACCGCGUCAUACGGAAGAGGCGUCCUCCACAGUGAGGUGACCGCCACCCGCGUCAUACGGAAGAGCCGUCCUCCACAGUGA